rnacentral:tRNA from 2 species
GGAGAGGUGGCCGAGUGGUCGAAGGCGCUCCCCUGCUAAGGGAGUAUACCGGCGACGGUAUCGAGGGUUCGAAUCCCUUCCUCUCCGCCA